CACAAGGGCUUCUGGCGUGAGCAGCACACUCAAGCAGCUCAAUUGCUCUUCACGUGGAAUCAACAUCAAGAGAUUUUGGAAGCAUAAUGGUUUUUGGUAUUUGACAAGCUGGUGAUCAUUUGUCCCAACAUUCUU